rnacentral:rRNA from 1 species
AACGAACGCUGGCGGCAUGCCUAACACAUGCAAGUCGAACGAGACCUUCGGGUCUAGUGGCGCACGGGUGCGUAACGCGUGGGAAUCUGCCCCUUGGUUCGGAAUAACAGUUAGAAAUGACUGCUAAUACCGGAUGAUGACUUCGGUCCAAAGAUUUAUCGCCAAGGGAUGAGCCCGCGUAGGAUUAGGUAGUUGGUGGGGUAAAGGCUCACCAAGCCGACGAUCCUUAGCUGGUCUGAGAGGAUGAUCAGCCACACUGGGACUGAGACACGGCCCAGACUCCUACGGGAGGCAGCAGCGGGGAAUAUUGGACAAUGGGCGAAAGCCUGAUACAGCAAUGCCGCGUGAGUGAUGAAGGCCUUAGGGUUGUAAAGCUCUUUUACCAGGGAUGAUAAUGACAGUACCUGGAGAAUAAGCUCCGGCUAACUCCGUGCCAGCAGCCGCCGCGG